UUGAUGUAUGACUAGAAUAUGGAUAAAGAUCUUUGCAGUAAUCAUCCUGAUUAUAGCCUGCUCGGUUACUGAUGUGGGGCGUGUGCAGAUUUUUUAAAGAAAAUGGCUGUUAAAUAAAGAUAGACCGAAGAAAAGACGAACAGAUUGUCUGAAAGAUGCAGCGGACUACAAUAUCCGUUUUUUUCGAUUAGAAAUAAUGUAAAUGAUGAAGAUUUACUUACUAGAGAGAGAUAGAAUUUAACUCCAUACGAGUAAUGCCCAAAUUCUUGACUCUAGUAAGUCUUGAAAUUCGCCGUUAUUGAGUAAAGGCAGUAAAUGAAUGUUAUAUAGCCGAUCCAUGUGGCUAGUACAGACUAUUCGCAAACAAACGUCAUGAAACGCCUUUCUAAAAUCUCUUAGCUAUGUAUCUACUAUGGGCUUGUGUUAAAAUGGUAUUUAAUUAAAAGGCACUUAGGCAUUUUAGGAA